GGGCGUAGCUCAGGGGUAGAGCAGCAGCUUCCCAAGCUGAAGGUCGCGGGUUCGAAUCCCGUCGCCC
rnacentral:tRNA from 1 species